AAUAGAUACCCGGGUAGUCCACGCCGUAAACGACGGAUGCUAGCUGUUAUGCGUAUCGACCCGUGUAGUAGCGAAGCUAACGCGUUAAGCAUCCCGCCUGGGGAGUACGAACGCAAGUUUAAAACUCAAAGGAAUUGACGGGGACCCGCACAAGCGGUGGAGCGUGUUCUUUAAUUCGAGGCUAAGCGAAGAACCUUACCAGGGCUUGACAUCCUUGGAAUUUCUCCGAAAGGAGAGAGUACUUUAUUGGACCAAGUGACAGGUGCUGCAUGGCCGUCGUCAGCUCGUGUCGUGAGAUGUUUGGUUAAGUCCAUUAACGAGCGCAACCCUUAUGAAUAGUUGUAUUUUUCUAUUCAGACUGCCCCGGUAACGGGGAGGAAGGGGGGAUGAUGUCAGGUCAGUAUUGCCCUUACGCCCUGGGCUAGAAACGCGCUACAAUGGCCGGUACAAUGCGCUGCCAACCCGCGAGGGGGAGCAAAUCGCAUCAAAGCCGGUCCCAGUUCGGAUAAGAGGCUGAAACUCGCCUCUUUGAAGCCGGAAUCGCUAGUAAUCGUAGGUC
rnacentral:rRNA from 1 species